CCACAUGCCGCCCUUCAGCCUGCUGUGGGUGUUCCUGGCCUUCAGCUACUCUGGAUCCACUGUGGCCCAGAAAGUUACUCAAGCCCAGACAGCCACGACCAGGACCGUGGGGCAGGCGGUCACCCUGAACUGCCAGUAUGAAGCAAGCUGGAGUUCAUACUAUAUUUAUUGGUACAAGCAACUUCCCAGCAACGAGAUGAUUUUCCUUCUUCGCCAGUAUUCUGGUGAUCAGAAUGCAAAGAAUGGUCGGUAUUCUAUCAACUUCCAGAAAGAAGCUAAGUCCAUCGAUUUGACCAUUUCAGCCUUACGGCUGGAAGAUUCAGCAAAGUAUUUCUGUGCUCUUUGGGACUCACAGUGUUUGAAGUGA